GAUAACGGCGUCGAGCGGCGGACGGGUGAGUAAUGCCUAGGAAAUUGCCCUGAUGUGGGGGAUAACCAUUGGAAACGAUGGCUAAUACCGCAUGAUGCCUACGGGCCAAAGAGGGGGACCUUCGGGCCUCUCGCGUCAGGAUAUGCCUAGGUGGGAUUAGCUAGUUGGUGAGGUAAGGGCUCACCAAGGCGACGAUCCCUAGCUGGUCUGAGAGGAUGAUCAGCCACACUGGAACUGAGACACGGUCCAGACUCCUACGGGAGGCAGCAGUGGGGAAUAUUGCACAAUGGGCGCAAGCCUGAUGCAGCCAUGCCGCGUGUGUGAAGAAGGCCUUCGGGUUGUAAAGCACUUUCAGUCGUGAGGAAGGUAGUGUAGUUAAUAGCUGCAUUAUUUGACGUUAGCGACAGAAGAAGCACCGGCUAACUCCGUGCCAGCAGCCGCGGUAAUACGGAGGGUGCGAGCGUUAAUCGGAAUUACUGGGCGUAAAGCGCAUGCAGGUGGUUUGUUAAGUCAGAUGUGAAAGCCCGGGGCUCAACCUCGGAAUAGCAUUUGAAACUGGCAGACUAGAGUACUGUAGAGGGGGGUAGAAUUUCAGGUGUAGCGGUGAAAUGCGUAGAGAUCUGAAGGAAUACCGGUGGCGAAGGCGGCCCCCUGGACAGAUACUGACACUCAGAUGCGAAAGCGUGGGGAGCAAACAGGAUUAGAUACCCUGGUAGUCCACGCCGUAAACGAUGUCUACUUGGAGGUUGUGGCCUUGAGCCGUGGCUUUCGGAGCUAACGCGUUAAGUAGACCGCCUGGGGAGUACGGUCGCAAGAUUAAAACUCAAAUGAAUUGACGGGGGCCCGCACAAGCGGUGGAGCAUGUGGUUUAAUUCGAUGCAACGCGAAGAACCUUACCUACUCUUGACAUCCAGAGAACUUUCCAGAGAUGGAUUGGUGCCUUCGGGAACUCUGAGACAGGUGCUGCAUGGCUGUCGUCAGCUCGUGUUGUGAAAUGUUGGGUUAAGUCCCGCAACGAGCGCAACCCUUAUCCUUGUUUGCCAGCGAGUAAUGUCGGGAACUCCAGGGAGACUGCCGGUGAUAAACCGGAGGAAGGUGGGGACGACGUCAAGUCAUCAUGGCCCUUACGAGUAGGGCUACACACGUGCUACAAUGGCGCAUACAGAGGGCGGCCAACUUGCGAAAGUGAGCGAAUCCCAAAAAGUGCGUCGUAGUCCGGAUUGGAGUCUGCAACUCGACUCCAUGAAGUCGGAAUCGCUAGUAAUCGUGGAUCAGAAUGCCACGGUGAAUACGUUCCCGGGCCUUGUACACACCGCCCGUCACACCAUGGGAGUGGGCUGCAAAAGAAGUAGGUAGUUUAA
rnacentral:rRNA from 1 species